CCGUGCGCCGCUCCUCGGGUUCUCUUCUUCGCCGCCUCGCUCUCGCCCUGUUUGCCUGCGUUGCGCCUCGGCAGUGGACCUAAUGACGGCGGGCGCGGCAGGCGGCUGCUGACGGCAGAGCCCGGGGCGGCGAAGGUGGUGUCGGCAGCUGCCGGCCAUGAAGCCCGGGGCGGGGGAGGCGGGCGCUGCGACGGAUCCGGCCGAGGCAGCGACGUAUCAUGCCGGAGCGACGACGGAUCCGGCCGGGGAGGCUGCGGAUCCGGUCGGAGCGGCAGUGGAUCUGGGAGGUAGCGGUGGUUCCUGGCGGCGACGACCUCGGCCGGAGCUUCCUCACGACAGCGAUCGCGGGCAAAGGUUCCUGUCGGCGACGAGGCCCGGGCCGGCGGUUCCAGGCGGGCCGGCGAUGGAUGUGGGAGCUAGCGGGCAUCGCCUUCCUCUCCGCCUCGCUCCCGCCCUGUCCGGCCGCGGUACGCAUCCUCCGGUCCGCCUCUCCGCGCUUGGAGGGGCUGCUGCACCGGCAGGCGCUGGCCAUGGCCAUCCACCAGCACCUCGACGCCGAGGGCUCCAUGUCGCGCCGCAUCGACGCGGGCGGCUCCAUGUCCCGCCGCAUCGGCCCCGGCUCCACCAGCUCCCGCUGCCGCGACGACCUCCCGGACUCCGUCACGAAUGGCAAGGCAGUGAACAUCGAUCUUUGCAAUAGCUUCUCAGUUGACCAUUACCCUUUCGGACUUCGGGGUCCACAACAAAAUCUGCUUCUGCUAAGCGGGAUUCUAAGCAAGACAAUAGCGAGAUAAAAUUAAUUGAUGAUGGAAGAACAGCAUAGCAUUUACUUAAGUGGAUAAAUAAUCGGAUUAAAUGGUGAUGAGCUUAGCAAGACCAGGCAUGAAGGAAUACGAGUUGGAAAGCAUAUUUCUCCAUCAUGUUUAUGUGUAUGGAGGCUGUCGACAUUGCUCUUAUACAUGUACAUGUAUAUGUCACUAGGGUCUCUCUUUUAGCAUUCAUUAUCAACGCAGGGUAUUUACAAUUAUUUCAUUACAAAUGACUAUGUAAACAUAUAUGACUCUUUUAGUUGGAAAUGGCAGCCCCAAAUGUGGCAUUAUUAAAUAUGCCCUAAAUUUAUUAAUCUGUCCUAUGUUUCCAUGUCAGAUAUUUACAGUGGCAGAGUUUUGCUAUCAAGAAUCAAACAACAGUUAUGUUCUUCAUUAUGGGCAUCCUGCUGCACCAAAUGAACGGGUACUCUUUUACGAAAUCUUGUGAGUUCGGUUAAUGCCUGCACAUUAUUUAUUUAUCUCUUGUACCCACCAACACCAACGCUCAGACACCCAAACCUCUUAUACUCACACUGCCAGCUAAUGAAAAUGGGGAUGGCUUGGUUCAAUUUCAAGACAGUAGAGUUCACCUACCUCUCUCCUCACCAGCUACAAUUUAUUUUGUCCCAUAUGGUCUUAAUGCCUACCUUAUGUCUGUUUGUAGAAAACUUGAGGGUAAUGAUGUAAUCGAAGCAACUAUAAGAGUACAAGUUGAUCUGGUGUUUUACGUGAUCUGUAACUUAUUACUAACUAGGUAGUAUGUUAGUCUAUGAGUGUCUUGUACGCUACCUCUUUAUACCGAGUUAGCAAACAGUUGAAUGCCCAUUCUCAUCAAUGAAUCUUUUAAAUGUGAA